rnacentral:rRNA from 1 species
UACGGAGGGAGCAAGCGUUACUCGGAAUUAUUGGGCGUAAAGGGCGCGUAGGCGAUCUGAAAAGUUCUGUGUGAAAGCCCACAUGUUAACUGUGGAAGUGCACAGAAAACUGUUGGAUUUGAGUUCAGGAGAGGAAGGCAGAAUUCCCGGUGUAGCGGUGAAAUGCGUAGAGAUCGGAAGGAAUACCAGUGGCGAAGGCGGCCUUCUGGACUGACACUGACGCUGAGGCGCGAAAGCCAGGGGAGCAAACGGG